GUGAGGAAUCUUCCACAAUGGGCGAAAGCCUGAUGGAGCAACGCCGCGUGAAGGAUGAAGGUCUUCGGAUUGUAAACUUCUUUUAUGAGUGAAGAAUAUGACGGUAACUCAUGAAUAAGCACCGGCUAACUACGUGCCAGCAGCCGCGGUCAUACGUAGGGUGCAAGCAUUAUCCGGAGUGACUGGGCGUAAAGAGUUGCGUAGGCGGUUAUGUAAGCGAAUAGUGAAACCUGGUAGCUCAACCACACAGACUAUUAUUCGAACUGCAUAACUCGAGAAUGGUAGAGGUAACUGGAAUUUCUUGUGUAGGGGUGAAAUCCGUAGAUAUAAGAAGGAACACCAAUGGCGUAGGCAGGUUACUGGACCAUUUCUGACGCUAAGGCACGAAAGCGUGGGGAGCGAACCGGAUUAGAAACCCUAGUAGUCC
rnacentral:rRNA from 1 species